CUAAUGAAACAGAUGAAGUGGAGUAUGACACGAGCAUGUAUCAUUUUAGUGAGCAUGUACCUCCAGCGAGGGAGAGCAAGAGUUUGAGUGAAUCUCACAGAAACAACAGCAAGUUGCAAAAGUGGUGCAAGAAACAAGAUAAAUUACUCAUUAAGUGCUUCAAGGCUAUCAAGUUUCUGAAGGACAAGCUAAGCUGCUCCUCUUCCACUACUGCUAUUCCG
rfam:Arabidopsis thaliana chromosome 3, complete sequence.